GACGAACGCUGGCGGCGUGCUUAACACAUGCAAGUCGAGCGGUAAGGCCCUUUCGGGGGUACGACGAGCGGCGAACGGGUGAGUAACACGUGGGUGACCUGCCCUCAGCUCUGGGAUAAGCCUGGGAAACCGGGUCUAAUACUGGAUAUGACUCCAUGACGCAUGUUGGUGGGGUGGAAAGCCUUGUGCGGCUGAGGAUGGGCCCGCGGCCUAUCAGCUUGUUGGUGGGGUGANGGCCUACCAAGGCGACGACGGGUAGCCGGCCUGAGAGGGCGACCGGCCACACUGGGACUGAGACACGGCCCAGACUCCUACGGGAGGCAGCAGUGGGGAAUCUUGCGCAAUGGGGCGAAAGCCUGACGCAGCGACGCCGCGUGAGGGAUGACGGCCU
rnacentral:rRNA from 1 species